rnacentral:piRNA from 1 species
UGAUACUGGCAUUUGCUUGUCUGCGGUGU